rnacentral:tRNA from 1 species
GGGGGUAUCGUCUAGCCUGGCCAAGGAUACCGCCCUCUCAAGGCGGAGACACGGGUUCAAAUCCCGUUACCCCUA